CAACGGAGCGAAGCGAUGGACUCCCGCCACCAGCGGCUGGCGACGCUGACCAAGGCCCUCACCGCGCACGUCAACGCCGGCCGCCACCGCGAAGCGCUCGCCUUCUUCGCGCGCAUGGCCUCCGACCCGGCGCUCCCGCCGCUCGCCGACCCGUCCUUCGCCUACGCCCUCCCUCUCGCGCUCAAGUCCGCCGCCGCGCUCCGCCUCCCCUCCUCCUCCUCCGUCGCGCCCAUCCACGCGCUCGCGCGCAAGUGCAGCGGCCUCCUCAGCAACCCCUUCGUCGCCUCCGCGCUCGUCACCUCCUACGGUGCAUGCGCCGGCUCCUCCCCCGAGGCCGCGCGCCGCCUGUUCGAUGAAUUGCCCGGCCGCACCGCCGUCGUCUGGAGCGCCAUGAUCUCCGCCUACGUCCGUUCAGGGGACGUCUCCGCGGCCGCACGGGCGCUCGGGGACAUGGACGUCGCGCCCACCGACUCGUGCUUCAACUCGGUGAUCGCGGCAGUGGUAGAGUCCGGGGAAUGUCCGGCCCGUGCCGUCGAGCUCUACCGGCGGAUGCAAGGGAUGGGCGUCAAGCCCUCGCUCAUCACUCUGCUGGCGCUCGUCCCGGUGUGCACGGCGCUGGGCGCGCUGAGCUCAAUCAGGGAGGUGCAUGGCUUCGCGGUGCGGCAUGGCAUGUUCACGAGCUGCCACCUCGGGAGCUCCCUCAUCGAGGCGUACGGUCAGUGCGGCUCUUUGGUCGGAGCGCAGAGGGUUUUUGACCUGGUGGAAGGGCGCGACGUGGUUGUUUGGAGCUCCAUGGUAUCGGCGUAUGCGUUCCAUGGCCAUGGAGACGUUGCGAUGUCGCUUUUCAGGCGUAUGGAGCUGGAUAAGGUCCGGCCUGAUGGCAUCAUGUUCCUCGGCGUGUUGAAGGCGUGUGGCCAUGCUGGUCGUGCAGAUGACGCUUUGAAGUAUUUUGAUGUGUUAACCAAAACAUAUGGAGUGGAAGCAUGCGGAGAUCAUUAUUCGUGCUUGGUUGAUGUCUUGGGACGGGCAGGGAGGUUGCAUCAGGCCUAUGAUGUUAUACGGAUGAUGCCGGUUAGAGUUACCGCAAAGGCCUGGGGUGCUCUCCUUGCUGCUUGCAGGAAAUACGGGGAGGUAGGGCUGGCAGAAGUUGCAGCGACAGCGUUGUUUGAGAUUGAACCGAAGAAUGCAGGGAACUUUGUUUCGCUUGCAAAUAUCUAUUCGGGCUUGGGUAUGCAUGAGGAGGCAGAGCGGGUGAGAAGGGACAUGGAGCAACGAGGCUUGCAGAGCUCACCUGGAAGCAGUUGGACGAUACAACGCAAGUCAAGUGAACUUGUCUGAAGGAGGUUCGCAUUUGCUGCAUUUGGGAGUUUUGAUCACUCAGAACAAAGUUUAUUUGGAUACACAAUUUCUAUGUCCAUGAAAAUCAGAAGCUUUUCCGUGGCUUAGUGCAACUGUAAAUCCUGCAUAAACAUCAAAUUUCCGGCUGGGAAUGCUGGAAAGAAGCCAUUACCCUGUUAGUAGCCAUGUCAAUUAUCAAAGUUCAGUCCUAGCCUGAUCUUAUUACCAUCUUCUUUACACAUUUCCUACUUCAGUUUUAUGCAUCAUUUUUCAAUCUGACAUUGGAUGUAUUUUACAACAAUUUAUAUUCUUUUACAAUUUUAUGCAUCAGCUUACAAUGGAAUUCCAGUUCAAAGGACUGUAGAGGAAACAUAACUAUAUAUAUACUGUUUCUUAUUCUUACAAGAUUUUCAGCAAAGCAGUAGGUAUUUGCAACUAUCUAAUGCCACUCGGCUCUAAAUUGCUAUGUACAUUGUUGUCACAAUCCACAUUGCUGUCAGUGGAUAUUAACUUUACUGAGGUUAAUUACAUCGGUGCAUUGAACCAUUGUGAUUCUUUAUUAUGAGGCUAAACUAAUAUAUCUUAUGUCAGUUUCUACGGACCGAGGAACUAUAUUUAGCUUUCCAACGAGACUUCUACUAGCCUUUUUCUGUUAGUGGAUAUGAUGCUAGCAUUGGUGCUACUUUACCAAAGGCACGUCUUAUUGGAAAACUGAUAUAAAGAAGGCUAGUCAAAUAGGUGCAGCGGGCAAGAUCCCUGAUAUCCUUCCUUUAGCUUUUAACCAUAUUUAGUUUCAGAAUAGAUCAUUGUAGGGAUAUAUAAUACAACCACAUUGUACUUCUCGUUUGGUCAGUCAGUUCAGCUUGUUGUUUGAAGAUAGCAAGUCCUAGUUUAUAAUAUUUUGUAAGUUAUUAUCUCUUUGAAACAGUUCGUGGACUGUAGUACUGUUUAGCUUCAGCUAGUUUUGUGCUGAUGCUAAUAACAAAA